rnacentral:rRNA from 1 species
AGAGUUUGAUCCUGGCUCAGGAUGAACGCUAGCGGCAGGCCUAAUACAUGCAAGUCGAGGGGCAGCGGGUCUAGCAAUAGAUGCCGGCGACCGGCGCACGGGUGCGUAACACGUAUGGAAUUUGCCCACUACUGAGGGAUAGCCCGGAGAAAUCCGGAUUAAUACCUCAUAAUACUGCGACUUGGCAUCAAGAUGUAGUUAAAGAUUUAUCGGUAGUGGAAGACCAUGCGGCUGAUUAGCUAGUUGGUGAGGUAAUGGCUCACCAAGGCGACGAUCAGUAGGGGACCUGAGAGGGUGAUCCCCCACACUGGUACUGAGAUACGGACCAGACUCCUACGGGAGGCAGCAGUAGGGAAUAUUGGGCAAUGGGCGAAAGCCUGACCCAGCCAUGCCGCGUGCAGGAAGACGGCCUUCUGGGUUGUAAACUGCUUUUGAUCGGGAACAAAGAGCCCUUGCGAGGGAAGUUGAGUGUACCGAUAGAAUAAGCACCGGCUAACUCCGUGCCAGCAGCCGCGGUAAUACGGAGGGUGCAAGCGUUGUCCGGAUUUAUUGGGUUUAAAGGGUGCGUAGGCGGCUUUUUAAGUCAGUGGUGAAAUCCUGCAGCUUAACUGUAGAACAGCCAUUGAUACUGAAGAGCUUGAGUACAGACGAGGUAGGCGGAAUUUAUGGUGUAGCGGUGAAAUGCAUAGAUACCAUAAAGAACCCCUAUUGCGAAGGCAGCUUACUAGGCUGUAACUGACGCCGAGGCACGAAAGCGUGGGGAUCAAACAGGAUUAGAUACCCUAGUAGUCC